CGAAGGUAGCAUAAUCAUUAGUCUUUUAAUUGAAGGCUUGUAUGAAAGGUUGGACGAGAGAAAAGCUGUCUCAACUAAAGUUUUGAAUUUAACUUUUAAGUGAAAAGGCUUAAAUAUAUUGAAAAGACGAUAAGACCCUAUAAAUCUUAAUACUAGUAUAGAUUAAAUCUUUAAUUUAUUUGUUACUAGAGGUGUUAAGCUGUUAGUUUUUUGUUGGGGCGACAAUAAUAUAGAAUAAUUACCUGUUUUAUUUUUAAUACAAUUAUUUUUGUUUAAAAGAGUGAUCCUCCUUAGGGAUUAAAAGGUCAAGUUACUUUAGGGAUAACAGCGUUAUUUUCCUUGAGAGUCCUUAUCGAAAGGAAAGUUUGCGACCUCGAUGUUGAAUUAAAAUUUCUCUGUGGUGCA
rnacentral:rRNA from 1 species